AAUGGGAAGAUGCCAGCAGCUCACAUCCCAGCCAGCAGACCCAGAAUUUAAUGUUACAACUCACUUUAUAAGUUUUUUGACCGAUCACACAAAGCAAAAGCACAUUGACAGCAGUUCUAUCCAACCACUAUCAGCACAGGUACCUUUGGUUAAACAAUGCUUGCUUAUUUCAAAUAUAAUACUUACUUGUAAGCCUUAAAACACAACACACAGAGCUCCAUUAUUAAGCUUAGAACUUCCUAAUAUCUCUCUAGAUAAACUUUUCUGUAGCUUAGGGAGUUAUUCUAGCCAAGCGUUAAUACACAGCCCAUUGUUCUAUCUGUCCUUGCUUUUCUACAUUUUACAUAAUUUUUCUGCUGACCAAUCUCAUGGCUGCUGCUUAGCUCUUAUCACAGUUCUGCUGCCUCUGAGGCCUUUUGCAGCUUUCCCAAAACCCUCUGAUUCUGUAGAUUCCCACAGGGGAAAUGGGGGUGUGGCCCCGCUCUGGUGCUCCCGGGGUGUGUCCCCAUUCCCUUCCCGGGGUUGGGAGGAGCGUUUUGGGGUGCAGCGCUGCCCGUUUCCCUCGGCAGGUGAUCGAGGAGGUGAGCAGCGAUGCCCCGAGCGGGCUGGCGGCGCUCAGCGUCCCUGCGUCACCUUCCUCGAGGCUCAGCAGGCUCGGCAAGGAGGAAGAGGAGGAUGAGAAUCGCUGCCGGCAGAGCCCUGCACGCAGCCCGCGGCACGGAGAGGACGCCAAAGGAGGGUUCCUGGCCGUGCGGCUGCGGGGCCGCUGGCAGCGCCUGUGGUGCGCGGUCCGGCACGGAGCCCUGCGCAUGUUCCCGGAGCCCGGCAGCGCCCAGCGCCCCGUGUGCGCCCUGCGCCUGGACGGCUGCGAGGUGACCCCCGGGGCGGCCGCCGGGUCCCCCCAGAACCUCCGGAUCCGAAUCGCCCAGCGCGGCCGGGAGCUCGCCCUGCUGCAGGCCCGUUCGGACGAGGAAAGGGAAGCGUGGCUGAAGACCCUGCAGGCCAGGGGAGCAGUGGAGCCAAAGAAGGGCGGUGGGCCCCCCCCGAGACCCCCCAGGCCGAGCAGCCGCCCCGCUGCCGGGGGGCUGCUGCUGCGCCGGGUGCCCACCCCCAACGCCUACAUGGACGAUCCCUCCGGGCAGGGACCAGCUGAGACCCCCAAACAGCUCCACUCCAACGCGGAGCGGCUGCAGCAGCUGGUAACAUCUGCCGGGGGUCUGUGCCCCCCACCCGUGCCCCUCAGCGUGGGGAGAUCCACUCCCACUCCCACCAGCCCCUUACCCACGGGUCUCUUCCUUCGGCAGCAGCAGAGCCUGGACCGGGCAGCGCAGGGGCAGCGCCCGAGAGCCGCGUCUGCCGUGCCCAGCUGUGCCAGCAGCAAUGCCCUGGGUGGUGCCCGGCCCGGGCAGGCAGCUCUCCGUGCCAGGCCUGCCAGUGCCCAGCUGCCCCAGGACAGCCCCAGCGUGCAGAGCCGGGACCUGUGCCAGUCCCAGCACACCCGGACCCUGCCCCAGAGGAGGGGGACGCGGGAAGGGCUCGAUGUCCUCGUCGGGCACAGAGCCUUUCCCAGGCUGGAGCAGCAGGAGCAGGGGCAGCUGGAGCGGGGCGUGCAGGGCAGGCUGAGAGCCGGCUCCGAGAUGAACCUGCUGGCGCUCGGGAAGUCCCUCAAGGGUCACAUCGCUGCCACCGCCGGCUCGGCUGGCUCCGAGGGAUCGUUCCUCAGGCCGCUGCUGAAGCGCACCACGUCAGCCAAGAGCGCCCUGAGGCCGCCGCCAUCCCCGGUCGUGGCGGGGAAGGGAAAUGUGAUGAGGAAGACAAAGGUAAAUUCUGGAUCAGGUGUCUGGGUUUGGAAAGGCAGGUGUCUGCUGAGGAAGGCAGGAGCCUCCCCUGAAAUGGAAAAUGUAAAACUCCCUCUGUGACCAUGUUCACAGGAUGAGGGAAGAGA
rnacentral:lncRNA from 1 species